rnacentral:lncRNA from 1 species
GUAUACAUCCAGAUUUCUUACCGCAAAUGCCCAUUUACAUCCGGUAGCUUUCUUAUUUGUAAGCAAAUUUACUGAAUCCCAAGUAUUAUUAUCCAGAGCCACCAUUUCUUCUACCAUAACAUCAUGUCAACCAGAAUGAGACAAGGCUUCAUUAAUAGUUUUAGGAAUUGUAACGGAAUCUAAUAAUGCAAUUAAAGAACUAGAAGAAGACAACGGACCAUAGAAAACAAAAGAUAAAAUGGGAUAGGUACAUUGACGUUUACCUUUUCAAGGAGCAAUAGGUAGAUCAAGACUGGGAUCUAGGUCAUUCGUGAUUGGAUCUUCCGAUGAAGGAACUGGUGGAGGACAUGAGUUAAGAGGCUUUUGUCUUUGAGAAUAGGCUUGAACAAUAGGAGGUUGAGUAGAUGUUUGAUCUAGUACAAAAAACUACUGGUGGAGGCAAAAAAUAGUGGCGAGAUGACUGUUCACGCACCCCCAUGCGUCAGUGCAUGGUGGGGCAUAUGGCUUUUGGCGGCACGUUAGCCUCAUAUGCGAGACUUUUGUUGGCUAUAAACAACAAAUUGGCUGAAAAGACGCUACCACUCCUUAUGCAAACAAUGCACACCAAUGAUCAUUGGAAAAGAA